rnacentral:lncRNA from 1 species
UGAAAAGGAACAGGCGAAAGAAAGGAAAAAUCCUCUCGCCGAAAUCACAGGCAAUCUUGGAGUCAUUUUAGUGAAGACGCAUUUCUGAAGCUUUUAAUCUGCAGCUGCACGAGGCGAGAUGCUGAGCCACCGCAAUCCAAACCCUUCAGAAGAUGAAGCUGUGUGUGCACAAAAUCGCCUCCUUAUUGCAUUGCUCUCUCGGAGGCUGGAUGUGUGGAGAAUUCUAGGGAGGUUGGCGUGGGCGUGGACUUCGGGUGCUGUGUCGUGGGGAGGCCUGAGGGCGUGUCCGCCUGUCUGCCAUACACUCCCAGAGCUGCUCACCAGGCAGCUAGAUUGAGGGUGAGGUUAGAGUGGCACAUGGCUCUGUACCCCAUUGGGUACCUCCAGCAGGCCGGGCACUGCAGCCCCUUGGCCUCCGGCACUCUGCGAGGGAACAUGCUGGCAUGAGUUUGCUGGUCCCGAUGGGGAAGAGUCAGGGAUCCCUGAGAGAGCCUGUCAGGAGGAGAGAAGGGACGCCGGGGUGAAAGGGAGGAAGGAGGUGGCAGAAGAGGCCUCGAGGAUGACGUGGGGCUGUAGAUGCAGGAGGCAGCUGGAGCCUGUGGCACUGGGGCAUGGCGGGCCUCAAGGAUUUCACUGCCACCCUUGCCGAGGAGGGUACCCUGAGGGCUUCUUUGGUAGGGUUGAUGCCUGGAACAUGUUUGCAAAAUGGAAAAAGGCCCCAACAGUUUUUCCUUCAACAAGCAAAGCCUGAUGUGCCUGCUGCGUGCCAGGUACACUGACCAGCAGGGCAAAGUUGGAGGACUCAGGAGGAAGGAUGAGUAAAGGAGAGCGUCAACUCAUGAUCUCCCCUGCAAUUCAUGGUUAGAGACUGUUUCAGGCCCUGGAA